rnacentral:rRNA from 1 species
AUACGGAGGGUGCAAGCGUUGUUCGGAAUCACUGGGCGUAAAGGGCGCGCAGGCGGUUUUACAAGUCAGAUGUGAAAGCCCACGGCUCAACCGUGGAAGUGCAUUUGAAACUGUAAGACUUGAGUAUCAGAGGGGAAGGUGGAAUUCCCGGUGUAGAGGUGAAAUUCGUAGAUAUCGGGAGGAAUACCGGUGGCGAAGGCGACUUUCUGGCUGAAUACUGACGCUGUUGCACGAAAGCGUGGGGAGCAAACAGGAUUAGAAACCCUAGUAGUCC